rfam:Triticum aestivum genome assembly, contig: Triticum_aestivum_CS42_TGACv1_scaffold_513305_6BS
UUUCUACUCCCUUCGUUCGAAAAUACUUGUCAUCAAAAUGGAUAAAAAGAGAUGUAUCUAAAACUAAAAUACGUCUAGAUACAUUUCCUUUUAUCCAUUUUGAUGACAAGUAUUUCCGGAUGGAGGGAGUAUUUG